GGAGGCCCAAAGGUAUUAACUAACUUGCUGUGUCAUAUAAUUAUUUAGUGGGAACCUAGAUCUCUACUCCAGGUCUUCUAGCUCUUAAAGUCACUCUAUUCCCAGGACUUAAGACUUGCUUUAAAGAACAGACCAUUAUAUGUUGAGAUUAUAAUAUUAUGGCACUGGGUGUAAUAUAUCAAAUUACUGGAAGAUACUGAAACGUUUCUAGGCAAAUCUUUUCCCCAAUGUUUGGUGUUGAGCAUUUACAUUUUCUUUUCCAUGAGGAGAAUUAAAUUUG